AUAAAUAUUUAACGGCCGCGGUACUCUGACCGUGCAAAGGNAGCAUAAUCAUUUGCCUUAUAAUUGAAGGCUAGCAUGAAUGGUUUGAUGAGAACAAAGCUGUCUCCUUUUAAUUUUAUAAAACUUGAUUUUUGGGUGAAGAAGCCCAAAUAAAAUUGAUAGACGAGAAGACCCUAUCGAGCUUAAAAAAAUUUUAUUAAAAUAAAAUUUGCUUGCAAAAGACUAAUUAUAAUAAAAAAUUUUAGUUGGGGCGACUAAGGAACAAUAAAGCUUCCAUUUUUAAUAUUAUAGCAUAUUAGCUAUGA
rnacentral:rRNA from 1 species